rnacentral:rRNA from 1 species
AUGUUCAUGGGAGGGUUGAUUCCCAAGAAGCAACUAUCAGGUGGACCAAAGUGGACUUUUGCUCAGAUUCUAGAGACAUUACCGCCAGAGGAGAACAGAAUGUUAGUCAGAGACUUGGUUACCGGCACAGUAACCAUCUCAUCAGUUUUGUUGACGAUGAGUCCAAAGGAGGGCGUAGAAUUUCUGAAUCUUCUGCAGCCCCUGCUGAUGGAAUCAUUAUUUACUGAUGGCUUCAGUAUAAGUCUGAGAGACUCCACUAUCGAAAAUCCAAUACCAGAGAUGAUUCAGCAUAAGGCACUUAACCUUGACUAG